GUAGGGAGAGACGGCCCUCACCUGG
rnacentral:piRNA from 1 species